GGAGUUAGCCGGUGCUUCUUCUGUGAGUGAUGUCCUUCCUGCCGGCUAUUAACCCGCAGGCCUUCUUCCUCACUGAAAGUGCUUUACAACCCGAAGGCCUUCUUCACACACGCGGCAUGGCUGGAUCAGGGUUGCCCCCAUUGUCCAAUAUUCCCCACUGCUGCCUCCCGUAGGAGUCUGGGCCGUGUCUCAGUCCCAGUGUGGCUGAUCAUCCUCUCAGACCAGCUACGGAUCGUCGCCUUGGUGAGCCGUUACCUCACCAACCAGCUAAUCCGACAUAGGCUCAUCCGAUAGCGCGAGGCCCGAAGGUCCCCCGCUUUCCCCCGUAGGGCGUAUGCGGUAUUAGCCUGGGUUUCCCCAGGUUAUCCCCCACUACCGGGCAGAUUCCUAUGCAUUACUCACCCGUCCGCCGCUCGCCACCAGGGAGCAAGCUCCCCGGUGCUGCCGCUCGACUUGCAUGUGUUAGGCCUGCCGCCAGCGUUCAAUCUGAGCCAGGAUCAAACUCUGA
rnacentral:rRNA from 1 species